CAAUAGCGUAUAUUUAAGUUGUUGCAGUUAAAAAGCUCGUAGUUGGAUUUCGGGUGUGAACGACCGGUCCGUCUUUGAUGUGUACUGGUUGGUUGCGCCUUAUUGUCGAGGACGUGGUUCUAGCUUUCAUUAGCCGGGACACGGAGUUGGCAGCGUUACUUUGAGAAAAUUAGAGUGUUCAAAGCAGGCUAUCGCUCUGAAUACAUUAGCAUGGAAUAACACGAUAGGACUCUGGCCUAUCUUGUUGGUCUGUAGGACCGGAGUAAUGAUUAAGAGGGACAGUCGGGGGCAUUCGUAUUUCAUUGUCAGAGGUGAAAUUCUUGGAUUUAUGAAAGACGAACUACUGCGAAAGCAUUUGCCAAGGAUGUUUUCAUUAA
rnacentral:rRNA from 1 species